rnacentral:rRNA from 1 species
UACGUAGGGCGCAAGCGUUGUCCGGAAUUAUUGGGCGUAAAGAGCUCGUAGGCGGUCCGUCACGUCGGGUGUGAAAACCCGGGGCUCAACCCCGGGCUUGCUUUCGAUACGGGCAGACUAGAGUAUGGCAGGGGAGACUGGAAUUCCUGGUGUAGCGGUGAAAUGCGCAGAUAUCAGGAGGAACACCGGUGGCGAAGGCGGGUCUCUGGGCCAUUACUGACGCUGAGGAGCGAAAGCGUGGGGAGCAAACAGG